rnacentral:rRNA from 1 species
CCUACGGGAGGCAGCAGUGGGGAAUAUUGCACAAUGGGGGGAACCCUGAUGCAGCGACGCCGCGUGGGUGAAGGAGUACUUCGGUACGUAAAGCCCUAUCAGCAGGAAAGAAAAUGACGGUACCUGACUAAGAAGCCCCGGCUAACUACGUGCCAGCAGCCGCGGUAAUACGUAGGGGGCAAGCGUUAUCCGGAUUUACUGGGUGUAAAGGGAGCGUAGACGGCAGUGCAAGUCCGGAGUGAAAGCCCGGGGCUCAACCCGGGGACUGCUCUGGAAACUGAAAAGCUGGAGGGCGGGAGGGCGGGGGGAAUGCCGGGGGGGAGGGGGGAAGGG